CGCGUGAGAAUCUAGCUCUAGGUCGGGGACAACCACUGGAAACGGUGGCUAAUACCGGAUGUGCCGAGAGGUGAAAGGCUUGCUGCCUAGAGAUGAGCUCGCGUCUGAUUAGCUAGUUGGUAGUGUAAGAGACUACCAAGGCGACGAUCAGUAGCUGGUCUGAGAGGAUGAUCAGCCACACUGGGACUGAGACACGGCCCAGACUCCUACGGGAGGCAGCAGUGGGGAAUUUUCCGCAAUGGGCGAAAGCCUGACGGAGCAAUACCGCGUGAGGGAGGAAGGCUCUUGGGUUGUAAACCUCUUUUCUCAGGGAAGAAAAAAAUGACGGUACCUGAGGAAUAAGCAUCGGCUAACUCCGUGCCAGCAGCCGCGGUAAUACGGAGGAUGCAAGCGUUAUCCGGAAUGAUUGGGCGUAAAGCGUCCGCAGGUGGCAAUGUAAGUCUGCUGUUAAAGAGCAAAGCUCAACUUUGUAAAAGCAGUGGAAACUACAUAGCUAGAGUACGUUCGGGGUAGAGGGAAUUCCUGGUGUAGCGGUGAAAUGCGUAGAUAUCAGGAAGAACACCGGUGGCGAAAGCGCUCUACUAGGCCUGUACUGACACUGAGGGACGAAAGCUAGGGGAGCGAAUGGGA
rnacentral:rRNA from 1 species